AGUUAUAUGCUUGUCUCAAAGAUUAAGCCAUGCAUGUCUAAGUACAAACAUAAAUAAAGUGAAACCGCAAAAGGCUCAUUAUAUCAGUUAUGGUUCCUUAGAUCGUAUCCACAAUUACUUGGAUAACUGUGGUAAUUCUAGAGCUAAUACAUGCAUUUAAGGAGAUUCUCAGCCUUUUGGCUGGGUUCUCUGCUUUUAUUAGAUUUAAACCAAUGGGGAGCGUUUCGGCGUUCUCAAUUAAACUGGUUGAACUCUGGAUAAUUUGUUGAUCGCAUGGUCUCGUACCGGCGACGGAUCUUUCAAAUGUCUGACCUAUCAACUAUUGAAGGUAAUGUCUUGGAUUACCUUGGUUACAACGGGUAACGGGGAAUCAGGGUUCGAUUCCGGAGAGGGAGCCUGAGAAACGGCUACCACAUCUAAGGAAGGCAGCAGGCGCGUAAAUUACCCACUCCCAGCACGGGGAGGUAGUGACGAAAAAUAACAAUACAAGACUCACAUCCGAGGCCUUGUAAUUGGAAUGAGUACACUUUAAAUCCUUUAACAAGGAUCAAUUGGAGGGCAAGUCUGGUGCCAGCAGCCGCGGUAAUUCCAGCUCCAAUAGCGUAUAUUAAAGUUGUUGCGGUUAAAACGUUCGUAGUUGAACUUGUGUUCCGCACGGGCAGUGCCAAAAAUCGGGCAACCGAAAUGGUACCUUGUCUUAUCUUCCUUGUCUUCGGAUUCGGAAAUGUGCGUGGACGUAUUAUCGGCGUGUUCGCUCUUGUAGCGUUCACAUCAGCCCAUCGCAGUGCUCUUAAACAAGUGUUGCUGUGGGCCGAUACAAAUUACUUUGAACAAAUUAGAGUGCUUAAAGCAGGCUUGUAAUGCCUGAAUAUUUUGUGCAUGGAAUAAUGAAAUAGGACAUCUGUUCUACUUUCAUUGGUUUUUUAGACCAAGAUGUAAUGAUUAAUGGAAGCAGUUGGGGGCAUUUGUAUUACAACGCGAGAGGUGAAAUUCUUAGACCGUUGUAAGACAAACUAAAGCGAAAGCAUUUGCCAAAGAUGUUUUCAUUUAAUCAAGAACGAAAGUUAGAGGUUCGAAGGCGAUC
rnacentral:rRNA from 1 species